CUCCGGGACGAGCCCCCGCGGUGCCCCUGGGCCGCGGGCGGCGACACCCCAUCACCCUCUGUUUACCUUGCCUCUGUUGCUUCGGCAGGACUCCUCCCUGGGUGGUACCGGGCUGGGGACCUGCCGGAGGGCCCCUACUCGUGGAUAUAGUGUCUUGUUGUCUGAUAUGUGAUUAUAAUAGUUUACAACUUUUAACAAUGGAUCUCUUGGCUCUGGCAUCGAUGAAGAACGCAGCGAAACGCGAUAUGUAAUGUGAAUUGCAGACUUUAGUGAAUCAUCGAAUCUUUGAACGCACAUUGCGCCCUGUGGUAUUCCACGGGGCAUACCUGUUCGAGCGUCAUUACAACCUCUCCAGCUCUGCUGGGUCUUGGGGCUUGCCUUUCCCGGGCAUCCCUUAAAAUCAGAUGCGGUGCCGCGGGGCCCUAAGCGUAGUACUGUUCUCGCUUCUGGAUCCACUGCGGUGUCUGCUAGAACACCCCCUCUCUUUAGGUUGACCUCGAAUCAGGUAGGGAUACCCGCUGAACUUAAGCAUAUCAAUA
rnacentral:rRNA from 1 species